ACUCCUACGGGAGGCAGCAGUGGGGAAUAUUGCACAAUGGGCGCAAGCCUGAUGCAGCCAUGCCGCGUGUAUGAAGAAGGCCUUCGGGUUGUAAAGUACUUUCAGCAGUGAGGAAGGUGGGUAUGUUAAUAGCAUAUUCAUUUGACGUUAGCUGCAGAAGAAGCACCGGCUAACUCCGUGCCAGCAGCCGCGGUAAUACGGAGGGUGCGAGCGUUAAUCGGAAUUACUGGGCGUAAAGCGCAUGCAGGUGGUUUGUUAAGUCAGAUGUGAAAGCCCGGGGCUCAACCUCGGAAUUGCAUUUGAAACUGGCAAACUAGAGUACUGUAGAGGGGGUAGAAUUUCAGGUGUAGCGGUGAAAUGCGUAGAGAUCUGAAGGAAUACCGGUGGCGAAAGGCGGCCCCCUGGACAGAUACUGACACUCAGAUGCGAAAGCGUGGGAGCAAACAGGAUUAGAUACCCCUGGUAGGUCAGUC
rnacentral:rRNA from 1 species